rnacentral:rRNA from 1 species
ACGCAGCGUGCGGGAUGACGGCCUUCGGGUUGUAAACCGCUUUCAGCAGGGAAGAAGCCGUAAGGUGACGGUACCUGCAGAAGAAGUACCGGCUAACUACGUGCCAGCAGCCGCGGUAAUACGUAGGGUACGAGCGUUGUCCGGAAUUAUUGGGCGUAAAGAGCUCGUAGGUGGUUGGUCACGUCUGCUGUGGAAACGCAACGCUUAACGUUGCGCGUGCAGUGGGUACGGGCUGACUAGAGUGCAGUAGGGGAGUCUGGAAUUCCUGGUGUAGCGGUGAAAUGCGCAGAUAUCAGGAGGAACACCGGUGGCGAAGGCGGGACUCUGGGCUGUAACUGACACUGAGGAGCGAAAGCAUGGGGAGCGAACAGGAUUAGAUACCCUGGUAGUCCAUGCCGUAAACGUUGGGCACUAGGUGUGGGGGACAUUCCACGUUCUCCGCGCCGUAGCUAACGCAUUAAGUGCCCCGCCUGGGGAGUACGGUCGCAAGGCUAAAACUCAAAGGAAUUG